rnacentral:misc_RNA from 1 species
AACGCAUAUUGCGCCCUCUAGUAUUCUAGGAGGCAUGCCUGUUCGAGCGUCAUUUCAACCCUCAGGCACAGCCUGGUGUUGGGGCUCUGCGCCUGCAGUUCCCGAAAUACAGUGGCGGCCAACACUUUUUGACGAUCUGACCUCGAAUCGGGUAGGACUACCCGCUGAACUUAA